CCUGCCUCAGCCUCCCAAGUAGCUGGGGUUACAGCACCACUGGGUUAGGGUCUCCCUGACUGAGCUGGUCUCGGCAAGUGGCGUACCUUCAUGGGGGCUCGAAUCCAGGUUGAAGGGUCACCGGAGCGACAGUUGGAAUGGAAAACUAGCUGGAGGACACCCAAGUACUCUUAAAGCAAUCCCUGUGGAGGAGUUAAUCUUCAAGGAUUGGAACCUAACUCGGUUUGGCAAAUGGAUGUCACACAUGUUCCCUCGUUUGGGAGACUAGCUUAUGUACAUGUAUGUGUGGGCACCUUUUCUCA
rnacentral:lncRNA from 1 species